AGAUGGCAGCACCAUCAAGUAAAACAGCUGUUCGUCCCAGUGCCGCUGCCCGUCAUUUGUAAGCCGUGUGUUGGUGGGAGAACUUCGUGUUGUUGUUUGUGCCGAACGCGUCGCGCCGCUUGUUGUGAUAUAUACAACGUGACAGCCGCUGCUUUUCACCAUGAAUGAAGAGAACCUUCAUCUCGCCCAGGCUAUGGUUGGUAUGGAUUUAGAAGACCGGCCACAGUCUCCAAAGAAAACUGUCGUAGGAAGAGUGCAAGAGAAGCUUCAAGGUUUCAGAGAUAGCAGCGCCACACCAGUGUCGCCAGCGCGAAUCGAUACCACAGAUACUAUGGAGGGCUUCCUGCAGUCCGCAACAACCAAUGGGAGGCACUCCAGAAGACCACGCCUUCCUGUCAGCACAGCAGCACCGUCACGAUGAGGUCAAUAUAAUGUCGAACAUGCAAGAGCUCAGCCCAGGUCGUGACGUCAUCUGGAGGAGUCAACAUCGUAGUGUUGAACCAACAAGUUGUUAAAUUUUCUGAUAAACUUUUACUUUAGUAAAUGUUAAACAUUGUACCUCAAGAGAACAGUUUGUUAAUUAAUUCAUCAAGUGAUGCUUUGCUAG